ensembl:lncRNA
GAACAAGAAGCUGGCGACUAGGAAGCCGACAACCAGCCUCGUCUUAGCCUAGCGGUCUACUUGACUAACCUAGCUGGCUAACUCGCCAGCUCGACUUAAACGUGGGUGUUUAUUAGUUUUCACUCGCGCAAAAAAACAACUUUUUAUAAAUGAGACAAAAGUAUUAAAUGUAGCUUUAUCCAUUUGGAGAAGCGCAAACGGGUUCUGGGCAGCAGGAGGCGGGGCUUUACUGCUAGAGCGGGAUGAUUGAUGGGCGAGCGGAGCAGCUCAUUGGCUGUUCGCGCUCUCUGACGUCAUUGCCCAACACGAGGCGCCGAUUUAAGCCCCUACGAUUCGAGGGAAAAAGACGUCACAGACGUCCCUCAGGAAGGAAGGCUGAUCCCACUGCAGGGUAAUAUGAAUCCAGAUGAUAUUACACAGCUUGGUAUUCAAGGUUAAAGCAAGACUGGCUUAGUCUACAGUUACUCUGUAUUUCUGUUUAAUCGUUUAUUAUGUGUGCCUUGCUGGUGAUGCAAUAAAGUCCUGAUUGGCUGAUCAGCAGUGAUAAAGGGUCCUACUGGAUGUGGACCGAGAUGAACCCCCAAUUUAUUCGCUUAAUAAAAAAUGAAACGUGACUUGUGCGCUGCUACUGUUUCAGUUCUCACACUUCUAACCACUCACCGUGGACAAAUCAACAGGUUUAGAUUUGGAGUGGUGGUAUUUUAUUCACUAUCCUAAACCAGCAGUGAACCUACACAAGUC